CCUCUCGCUCCUGACUCCUCCCUCUGCCCAAAUCUAGCGCUCUUGCCUUUAUUUUACAAAUUCAGAGAGAACUCCAAGGCAAACCACAACACAUCUCUUUUAAAGUAAUCAGAGAUUUGGACUACUCUGGGGUGUACUGUAGAAGGGGACAACCCUUAGUCCCGUUGUCUACCCCUCCCCUUUUCUUUGUUUCUAUUAGUUGGACCGUGACAGUGGCAGGGUCUUUAGUAGCAAUCUCUUUCACUGUUUUAUCUGCAAAGUUGUUUCCCCUAGCUAUGAAAGUCUCUCCUCUUUGGUGGCCUGGGCAGUGGAUGAUGCUCACCUUUAGUGGUUUGAGGAGAGCUUCCAAGAGCGCCUUGAUAUCAGCUUUGUUCUUAAUCUCCCUGACACUGGAUGUCAGGAGCCCCUCUGCUGGUAUAUCACCCCAUGUACAUGAGCAGUGGCAAAAGCAUACCUGCUAUCGGUGUAGAUGUUGAUUUUUUUUUGCCAGCCCCCAGAUCUAAGGUAUUGAUGAGUGCAAUCAGUUCCGCUUUCUGGGCUGAUGUUCCAGAGGGCAAUGAACCAGGUAACCUCAGCAUUGGGCAGUGGUUGGUUGGAGAGAUCUUUCUGCCACCCCUGUUCCUCUGCCAGGACCUGUAGAUAGUUGUGGGCAGGUACCUUGGGAUCAGGGUUAGGUAAUAGAGUAACUGGGUUGAGGGUCACUAGAGGUGUGAAAGUGACUCUAUUCAAGUUCAACAACAAAGUCUGGUAGUGGGUCAUACGGGUGUUAGUGAGCCACCAGUCAGGGGGCUGGUGCACCACACUCUUGAGGGCAUGGGCUGCCACGGUCAAGUCCUGUCCUAUGGUCAGCUUAUAGGCAUCCUUAACCAGAACUGCCACCAUCACUAUUAUCCUCAGGCAGGCAGGCCAUCCAGCCGCUACACGGUCUAUUUUCUUUGACAGGCAAGCAAUGGGACAUUUCCAUGGGCCCAAUGGUUGGGUCAGCACCCCCUUAGCCAUCCCUCCGUUUUCAGCCACAAAAUGAUGAAAAGGCCUUCUGAUGUCAGGCAGACCUAGAGCAGGUGUUUCCAAAAGAGCCCUUUUAAUGGCAUCAAAUGCCUGUGAGGGGAACACCCUCUCACCCCAAUAAAAUGGUUGUCCAGUCUUAUUCAAGGGAUAGAGGAGUGCCACUAGCUCAGCAAACCUGGGAAUCCAUAACCUACAAAAAGCCAGCCAUCCCAAAAAUUCUUGCACUUGUUGGGGGUCUUUGGGGCAGCGAUAUGAAGGAUGUUUUCCUUCCUGGCCUCUGAUAACCAGCACCUCCCAUCCUCUAACAGGUACCCCAGGUAGCUCACCAUACACUGGCAGAUUUGGGCUUUCUUGGCCAAGGCUCGAUAACCUAACUUGCUCGGCUCUAUCAGCAGCUGCUUAGUACCCCUGAGAGUUUUUCUCAGUCUCUGCUGCAAGUAAAAGGUCAUCCACAUACUGCAAAAGGGGUCACCUGUGGGUUAGACACAUGGUAGAUGGCAAGGUCACAAUGUAAGGCCUCAUCAAAGAGGGUUAGCAAGUUCUUGAAGCCCUGGGGCAGCUUAGUCCUGGUGAGCUGUCACAUGAUCCCUGCCUUGGGAUCCACUCAAAAGCAAAGUAUUCCUGGCUUUGGGGAGUCAAGGUUAGGCAGAAGAAGGCAUCUUUGAGGUACUGUGUAUCAGGUCCUGGGAUAUGGUAAUGAGCUUAGCAGGGUGUAAGGAUUAGGUACUGUGGGGUAUAUGUCAGCCAUUCGCUGAUUUAUCUCACACAGGUCCUGCACUGGGUGACAGUCCUGGUUCUUGACUGGCAGGAGAGGUGUGUUCCAUGCUGACCUACACCUUCUCAUGAUCCCCAAGUCCAGGAGCCUGUUAAUGUGAGGCCAAAUCCCCUCCAGAGCUUCCUGAGACAUACAGGGUACUGACACAUAGAUAUUGGGGUAGCCAUGGCCUUCAGUUCUACAUGGAUUGGGGGGGGGGCUGGUUGGUAGCCUUCCCCAUGUUUGCUGUUUCAGCCCAGGCCUGGGGGUACUUUUAGCCACCAGUCCAAGUUUUGGGGUGUCUCCUUGAUAUUCUCAAACAGUUUGCAUUCAUCUUCCAAUCUUAUGGUUAGGACCUGUAUAGGUUCCCCGUUGUGGCCUGUGAUGGUAGGGCCCCUGGGAGGAAGUGGAUUGGAGCACCCAUUUUGGUAAGUCUCAGCCAAGGAGGGGGUCGGGACACCAGGUGUGACCAUGAAAGAGUAGGAUACCCAUCCCAGUCCUGGAUCAACAGAUCUUUGGGUACUCCAUGAAUAUUGUUUAGUCCUUGUCGUUCCUUGGACCCAAGACUUUUUCUUGGAGAUGGGCCCCUCUGUUUGGAGGAAGACAAAAUGUUGUGCCCCUGUGUCCACCAGAAACUGGGUGGGUUUCCCCUCCACUUUCAGAGUUAUCCUGGGCUUGGGGAGGGGCUCCAAACCCUAUCCCCCCUAGUCACUCUCUUCUCCUAGAGUUAAGACUCUUUGGGUCUGAGUCAUCUUCUUCCCUUCUUGCCCUCUCUCCCUGCUUUCUUGUGUCGGUAUAGUCUCUAGCCCAGUGGCCCUGUUCUUUGCAAUAGGUGUACUGGUCUUUCUCAAGUGGCGCUCUCUAUCUCCUUACUUGUGGCGGAGGCUCUGGUCCCCUCCUGUUCUCUCUAACCACCGCUGUCAGGAUCUUUUCUAACUUUCUAUCCUGCCACUCUUCUCUUUGUAGCUCCAUUUCCUCUGCCUCUUUCUCUUUCUCCUCUUCCUUUUCUUCCUCUGUUUCUCCAUCAUGAUAAACUUUUUCAGCUACCUGUACUAGUUCCCUCAAAGACUUACCUUGUAAGAUGUCUACCUUCUGGAGCUUCCUCUUUCUGUCCUUUGCAGCCUCAUCUGUAAACGCCAUAGUCAUUGUUACCUGUGUUCCUCAGUGCUGGGAUCAUAGGGUGUGUAUUGGCGGAAAGCCUCCAUAAGUCAUUCUAGGAAGGCUGACAGUGUCUCAUCAGGGCCCUGCCGCACCUUAGUCAGAUUAGUGGGUUGCUUUGCUGCCAACAGAGCCUGGCGGUAGACUCUUAAACCCGCCUUGCCCACUGCCACAGUGUAGACCCAGUCAGGCCUCGUUGGGUGGAAUCCCUCGUCUAUGUCAGCAGAGUUCAGGGUUGGGACCCCAUUAUUUCCUGGAACAUUUUUUUCCUGGCCUCUAGGAGAAUUUGUUCCUUCGUUUUACUGGUAAAGAGGGCCUAUAAUUGCUAACAGUCAUCCCAAGUAGGCUGGUGUGUAAAAAGAAUAAACACUAUUAGAUUGGUGAGGCCCUUGGGGUUAUCUGGAAAGGGUGGUGCUAAUCCUUCCAGUUAUAGAGAUCAGAGGUGGAAAAGGGCCAGUAUUGCAUGGCCUGAUUUCCUGUUGCCUCGGCAGGUCCAAAGGCUCACAAGGAAGAGGGCCACAGUGGUGUCAGGGGAUACAGCUCUACGGUUCCACGUCCCCAUGGCAGGACCCGUGUCCUCCUCUGGGGAUGGGUAAAGGGGCUCAGGUGCCAGAACUGGUAGAUUCUCAGCCUCUGCUUGGCACAUUUGGGGCAAGGGCAGGGUGCCACGGGGAGGAGUUUCAAGGAGGGGAAGAUCUGCAGUUUCCUGGAGAACUUCUGUCUUCUUCCCCGAACCAGCCAGUGGCUCAGGCUGAGUCUUGAAGGUCAGAACCAUGCUAGGGAGAAAAGGACAAGCCCAAGCAGGGGGGUUAGUUAUAAGCUCUUUCCAAACAAUUAUAUAGGGGACCUGAUCCGGGUGACCAGCAGAUCUGGAUCUGAGUCCUAGGAUCUCACAUUUGACUGCCAUGGUUAUAGGAAGAUGGAGUGUCCCUUCCUGGGGCCAACUGUUCCCAAAAGCUGGCCAUUUGGAUGCUCCCGGGGUCUGGAGUUUCUUUUUCUUUAUGUCUACCUGGAAGGGAGGGGUCUUAGUGUUGGGAUAUCUGUGGUGGAAUUUCCCACUGGCCUUAGAUUGACCCCAACUCUGACUCUUUCAGGCCUAGUCUCCUGAACGGCUGGCUUGAAGCCCGUCGUGAAGUCAGACUGUCUCAAUCCUCUGACUGGGUGUUCCCUAGAACCUGCAUACAGUACCGUUCCAAAGCAGUUACAGCGAGGGGCUCCUGUGCGGCCUCACAGACCCCUUCCACUGGGCCUACACACGCUUAGCCCCAGAUGGUCUCACGACCUGGUCAGCAGUAAAACAACCGGCUGUUCCUGAACUUGGCCGACAUUCCACCUUUUACCCAACCCCCCCGUAACGAUGACCCAAUAUCAGCAGGGAUCGGUCAUAGAUCAUUUCAUCACCCCUUAUUCAUUUACUAUCCACAAAAGUCUGGGAUGUUUGGUUUCAGACCCCAGAACAAUGGACUGAGGUUCAUAGUUCACAUACCAAAGCAGACUUAGCCUCCAGGUUCUCCCAGCAUCCCUCAGUCCCUACCUGGUAUACCCUGCCCCCAACCAUGCGCUUUCCAGCCCAGGGGCUGGGUUGCCCUUCCUCCAGAGGCUCUUCCCUAUAUCAUCCAGCCAUUGGGUUCUCCCUCUUCCCCCUUUCUCUUUCUCUCUGAACAUGCCCUCUUUCUUCUUUUCUCUUGCCCCUCUCUUCUCUCUCCCUUUCAUGGAGACUUCCCUAAGGACAGUGAACUCACCUGAGAGCAGCUUCCCAACAAACCUGCAUUUUAUAUAAUCUAAUCUGGCUCGAGUUGGCUCAUUCCACCAGCAGAGAAAUAAUGUGUCAGGAACCCUAAGGUUUGUAUGUGCUUGCCCCAGACAGUGGCACUAUUGGAAGAUAGGGCCCUGUUGGAGUAGGUGUGUCACUGUGGAUGUGGGCUUUAAGACCCUCAUCCUAGGUGCCUUCCUGGAAGUCAGCAUUCUGCUAGCAGCCUCCAGAUGAAGAUGUAGACCUCUCAGCUCCUCCAGCACCAUUGCCUGCCUGGAUGCUGCCAUGUUCCCACCUUGAUGAUAAUGGACUGAAUCUCUGAACCUGAAAAGCUGUCAGACUUGGGUCUGCCAGGCGAAGACCUACGUUGCCCUGUGUGACAGCUGAAGACCUGUCACUGCCCCCACAAAGCCAUCAAGACCACAGGAAUCUAGGACAACCAUCCAGGUAGUAGCAAAGACAUCAGGACAACAGGCAGAAAAGAAUGUUGGCCUCUUUUGGCUCAAGGACAAAAGGCCCCACUAUCAGAG
ensembl:lncRNA